CCCUUAGACCUAAGAGCCCCUGGCCGAGCCCGAGGAACGCUCGUCCAGGUCCCAGGUCCCAGGUCCCUGGAGGGGGCAGCCGCGGCCCCGCGCCUCCCCCACCCCCCGACAGCCCCCGGAUAACUCACACCACCAGACAAAUCCUCUGAAGUAACUCAAGAAAUGUAAAGAGGGAAGAAGUCCAUGGUAGCAUUGGAAACGGAGAAUGAUACAAUAAAGGAACCAAAAAUAUGAAGGAAUUCCUGGAAGAAGUGAUGCAGAUGGAAUCAGAUCAGCAGAAAAGCUAAUCACGCUAAAGAGCCAGUGAUUUAACACAGGCGUACGACGGUGAUUCAACAACUCUACAUGUUCUGCUGUGCUCACCACAAGUGUAGCUACCGUGUGUCACCAUUUAGUGCUGUCACAAUGCCACUGGUUACAAUCCCCGUUCUGUACCUUUCGUUCCCAUGACUUAUUUCGUCUAUCAAAAUUUUAAAUGCACGUCAUCUCGGAGCCAGUGAUUGUGCUAGGAACUUACCCAUCGACAUACCUGAAAAGCACACCAGGGAGGAUACGUGUUUAGAGAUGUUCAUCACACCUUUUCUUUGUAAUAAAAAGAAGGAAAGAAAUAGAAACAACCUGAAUAUCCACUUGUAGGGAUUUGUUAGGUAAAUACAAUGCAGUGUAUCAUGGAACUGUUAAAAAGGAUGGGGUAGAUCUGCAGAGGUUGCUACCAAAAGAUGCCUAAAAUCCAUUAGAUGAAAAAGUAGGAGGGAGAACAAUCUAUACAAUCUAAUUCCUUUAUCCACACGUGGAUAUGCAUAUGCUGGUAUAUGCAGAGGAAUAUUUUUAAAGAAUAUCUAAAAAUGUAUUAACAGUGGUUGCUUUUGGAAAGAGAUUGGAGGUGGAGAGGAGAGGGAGACUAACUUUUUAUUUUUUAGAUACCUUUGUGCUGUUUAGAAUUUAUCGUUUGCAUAAUGCUAAAAAGUGUUCCUUCAAUUGUGGUACUGGUACAGGAACAAACAGAUCAGUGAAACAAAAUUAAAUUUCCAGAAUUUAUAUGCAUUCAUAGGAAUUUCACGAGUAGUAACAGCAGAAUUUUAAUUUAUUAAUGGACAUUUCAUUAAAUGACAUAGAGACAGCUGUUAUUCACUGGAAAUAAUAUAGUUAGACUCAAGGUCAACAGGAAAACAGAAACCACUCUAGAUAUUUCAAGCAGAAAGUGAUUUACUAAUAAGAGUUGUGUUUCAAAUCUGUUGGGAGAGCUGGGAGAUAAAAACGGGAGAGUUGGUACCACCCAGAGGUCGGGAGUUGCAGGGAGGGGCCGUGCUGUCGCACUGCCCCUCAGGGGUCUGUACUCACCUGGCUCCACCACUGCUGCCGCAACCAAAAGAAAGACCUCCUAUCUUUCCACCUUCCACUCUCAUUCAAGUGCCUCUCACUGGCAAAAUCGAAAUUAGAAACCCACCUCAAAGGAGUCUGGGAGAUGUUUGAAGCCUUUUAGCCCCUGCGAAAUGGGAGAGCAUGAAUAAGCAAAAAGGAGGUGGUUAUUUCAGUUAAUGGUGCUGUGAAAGUUCGUUAUGCUUCUGGGAGAAAAACAAAACAAAAAGCAAAACUCAGUCCCUAAUUUGCACUUUAUACACACACACAUUUCAGAAAAAAUUAAAAAUUAAAAAAAUAACGAAAGCAUCUGAAUUAGAUCAAGAAGACAAGGAUAUCUUUCUACAUUAUAUACUGAUACACCAUUUAAUUUAUUGCAAUGACUUUUAUGAUCCAUGAAAACAAAGACUGUUCCAUUGCAGGGUUAAAAGUGGGGAGAUGGGGCCAAGUUUUGACAGCAAGGGAUAUAAAAAUAAAAUAAGAUACUAAGAGCGAAGCCGGCCUGUAACUAGGCCCUCAUCUCUGUGCCCCCAACUCCCAGGCCAGGUUCCAUCUCCUCCUGUGGAAGAAUGCUCUCUCCUGGUGACAGUAUUUACCAAGGAACAGAAGUCUCCCUGAGCAAUUCACUGAGCAGGAAGCUGGGUAAGGAUUAGCACGGUGCAUUAAAUAGAUGCAUUCAUACAUACAACAGAAAUGAAAUUACAGAACAGUCUUGCUUUUCUCCUCACCUUCUAGUUCCUGUUUUGGUGACCUCUGUUUUUCUACUUUUUACAUUUGUUCCAGGCGUGCUUUUUUUGUGUUCUGAUUUGAAGUAAUAGGCCACAUCUUAGGAUCUUGAAAAUGCCAGGAUCUUUUGACCACUGUCCCCCAAGAUGUACUUUGUAGAACACUAUGUUGGGAGACAUCAAUGGAAAUGCCAAGAAAAAAGCAUUCUUAGGCAAAUAAGGUUGGAAAUUGCUAUACCUCCUCUUGGAGAAAAAAAAUAUCACAAAGUAUAUUUCUGUAUUAAAGGCACUUCUUUAAAGGAAAAUUUAAUUUUAUUUAAUUUCAAAUGUUUCCCAAGUUUAUUUUCUGCACAAUACACAGACACUCUGGGGACAGUGUAUGGUUAAAAAACAACGUUCCAUUAACAAUUUGUUAGAUUCUGCUCUAGAUC